rnacentral:lncRNA from 1 species
AGGCAUGAGCCACUGCACCUGGCCGGGCUGAUGGUUUUUAAGAAGUAGGUGAGGCUUCUUCAUUCUCUCUUAUACCAUUUACUUCAGAGGACUCUGCGGCCCUAGAAAGCAGUUGAUUUAGAAGAAGGAAAGACCCUGCCCUGCAGAAUCAUUAUGGAAGCUACUGAGUGACAAGGCAUCCCUGCAUUGGUCCUUUAUAUGAAAGGUUCUGAAAAAAGAGGACAGCACCUUCUAUGAAGAGCACGGAGACCCUAACGAGAUGCAGCCACCUCUGGUGAUACGUUAUAAUCUUCAUGAAUAUUCCAGCCCUUGGUUAAAGAACCCCAUAAAGGUCAAGAACCUGGACACCGGCUGAAGUCAAGGUCCCACCAGCAUUUGGGGACCUCCCCCAGCCCAAUCAUAUCAUUGGCACCAUGUUCUUGGACUUCUCAGCCUCUGGAUUGGUAAACUAAUUAAACCUUUAUUCUUUAUAAAUUACCCAGUCUGGGGUACUCAGUUACAGCAACAGAAAAUGGACUAAGACAUGACCUCUGCCCAGUUAUAUAUCAUGUAGCAUAAUGAUUACCCUGAUAUAUGUAAUAUUUUUUUCGGGUCUUGAUAAUA